GCGUGACAGCAACUAUGGCGGCUGCGUCCGCGCUGGUUCCGCUGCAGCGGUGUGUGGUGUCGCCGGCGGGGAGGCACAGCGCCUCUCUGAUUUUCCUGCACGGCUCAGGUGAUUCCGGACAAGGAUUGAGAAGGUGGAUCAAGCAGGUUUUAAGUCAAGAUUUAACAUUCCAGCACAUAAAAAUCAUUUAUCCAACAGCUCCUCCCAGACCCUAUACCGCUAUGAAAGGAAGACUCUCCAGCGUGUGGUUUGACAGGUUCAGAAUAGCCAUCGACUGCCCAGAGCACCUGGAGUCCAUCGAUGCGAUGUGUCAGUUGCUCACGGAUGUGAUCGAUGACGAGGUGAGAAGUGGCAUCCAGAAGGAUCGGAUAUUAGUAGGAGGGUUUUCCAUGGGAGGGUGCAUGGCGAUGCACCUGGCGUACAGAAAGCACCAAGACGUGGCCGGAGUCUUCGCGCUUUCCAGCUUCCUGAAUAAAGUCUCCGCUGUUUACCAGUCCCUGUCACACUUAUCUCCAGAGCCAGAGCCUUGCAAGAGCCUGUGCCCAGGUCCACGUCACCACUUAUCAACAACAAGAGGCCCACUCCAUCCUCACAGCUGAGUGCUCCUUACUGGCACUGAUGUCGGAGGAAAGGAGAAAAACUGACCUCUCAAAUCACCAGUUUUCCAGCUUAAUGUUCCUUUCCUUGAUGACAUGCCUUAAAAGUGGCGAGCCAGUCACUGGAGCAGUAAAGGCUCAUUGCUUUCUUCACACACUGCAGUCGGGUCCUGGUCUCAGGGAAGCCUUCAAACAGGGAGCACCGCGCCCCCUCCCACAGCGAGAACUUUCCGAACAGAUGAGUCAUAAAUAAGGAAACCGGAAAUCAGGAGGCCACAGGUACGCCGUGGUCCAUCACACAACGUCAAAUAACAGUCUGCACAGAAUUGCCAGACUGUUAAACCAACUGCGGGCCAGCACUGGGACCAGUGUGGGAGAUGCGCAGUGCCGCGGAAAUGGUUCCUGUUAUCCACAGAAGAAUCAGAGCGACUUGAUGGGUGACUUACUCAAUACUGCAAAAUACCUCCACAGUUAUUCCUUGGAAAUAAACUUAAAAGUUGCAGGAAAACUAGUUUCUCUGCGGUGGUGAACCUGUGAGCAUUCCUAAACCAUGGCAUUUCUUCCUAAAGCAGGGCCUAAAUUCUCCUCUUGUGUCUCCUGAACCCUUCUGGAGGGCCGCACAGUGGAGAGCGCACAGGGCCGUUUCCGACACAACCGCUCAGUAACACCCUGGUGACACACCACUCACUGGUUUGUAUCCCCAUGUACCCAUCAUGUCAGCUCAGGCCACUUUCCAAAGAGCAAGUGGCACGGAACUUCUCCCCAAAGUCCACAACAACGAUGAAAUUACUUGCCAGUCUUAGCCAGUCCUUAUCUGCUUCUAGGAGGGAGAUGAAAUAGUCCAAGCCCAGAUGAAGUUCCAGUACACUCAGCCCUUGCCAAAUCCAGAAAGCUGCAAUGCGGAGGGGACACGCCCCCCCCGCUCGUUUGUUAGCUAGAAAACUGAAUGGGUAUCAACCCCUGAAAUGCCUCUUAUGUUUCAGGUCUUGUGCCUCCCCCUUUACUGGCAGAGUGUCAUUUGUGGAAUAGCCCUUUGAGGGUCUCCGACCCAUUCCUCACUUCAGUCCUUCCUUCACUGGAUAUCUGUUCCCAUCUUACAGAUGAGGAAGCAGGCUCCGAGAGAAGAAGCGUCAGUAAGUAAUUGCCCGAAGAUCACCCAGGUGGUAAAGAAUCUGGAGAAACCAGAUCUGAAGCCAGAUGGCCAUGAUGACAAAACCCCGUUCUUUCCACAGCGUUGCCAGGGCUCUCAGACAGGGGCUCCAGCAGGAUCAUCUGGGGCCCCACAGUCUACACUGUUUCAACUGUAUUUUCUAUGGAAGGGUCCAAGAAUCUAUUUUAACAAGGGUUCCCUGUGCUUUUUGUGUGUAACGAGGUUUGGGGACAGCUAAAACACAAUGCACAAGUUUUCCAACUCCUUCUAUAUAACUGCUCCAAAACCCUUAAUGACCAGUAAUCCAUUUGACAACUGUUUACUAAGCACCUGCUAUGUGCCUGGCAGUGUCAUAGGCAUGGCAGUGGGUAGAGCUGCUGCCCUCGAGAAACUUCCAUUCCAGUGUGGGGGGUGGAGAUGGGUCAUGAGGGACAGACAGAAACGUGAUACGUAAGCAAGCUAUGCAUUGUGUUAGGAGAUGGUAGGUACUCAGGGGAAACACGGGAACCAGAGGGGUGGGUAUUACGCAGGGGGUCAGGGCCGCCUUCCCAUGAAGGUGACAUCGAGGGGAGGGGAAGGACAGGCCACAGGCAUGUCUGGGAAGAGGACCCAGGUAGACGGAGCAGCUAGCACAAAGAACUAAGGCAGGUAUGUGCCUGAGCAUCUAAGAAGCACCACGGAAGUCAGUGUGGGCGCAGGAAGGGAGCCAGAGAGAGGGGUCAAGUUGAAGUCCGACAGGUAAGAAGGGAAGGACACAGAAAGCUGCUGCUGGAUCCUAGAGGCUAUCAUAAGUAUUUUUACCUUUACUCUAAAUGAAAUGGGAAAUAACUGGCACACUUUGAGCAAAAAAAAAAGUUAUGUAAACUAAUAAAUAAAAAACAAAGAAUUCCAUUGACAAAGACCAAAAGAAGAUUUUGAAAAAUUUCUAGCCCAGACUCCUAUAAAAAGGCAGGUGUUUUUCUACAUUAUUCCAAGAAAACUGUUAAAAUUUCACAUGAAAGCAGGCUUCAUGAGUCACCCAUCCACUUCCCUCGGCCAUUCAUCAACCCAGUAUUUAUUAAAUCCACAGCCACCCUGUGUCAGGCACGAUGCUAAGUGCAGAGGGCGUGAUGGGAUUUAUGGCAUGGCUCCCAGGGCGCAGUGGGCCUCGGUAGCGGUGCAUGUGGCCCAGGGUGCCUGUGAAGUCACUGUUUAUUCGCAACCUAAUUACUUCCAUUGUAAUUAAAGCCCCUUUCCUUUGGCUGAUUGUCAGUAGGUGACAUGGUCCGUCAAACUGUACCCCAGCGCUAGCCGGGACAGCGUGGCUGGCAGCCCCUCCAGGGUUCUCUUGGGAGGGGCAGGUGUCCUUAUGGCCUCUCCAAAAGGGAGGGCUGGGGACGGCUGGCAGAGAAGAGCGAGCCUCAGCGGCUGGCAGGGCCCCGACCAGCGAGGCUCAGUUGGAUGGGCUUCAUCCCAUGAAACAAGAGGGAUGACAGUCAGGGCAC